rnacentral:rRNA from 1 species
GACGAACGCUGGCGGCGUGCUUAACACAUGCAAGUCGAACGGAAAGGCCCUGCUUUUGUGGGGUGCUCGAGUGGCGAACGGGUGAGUAACACGUGAGUAACCUGCCCUUGACUUUGGGAUAACUUCAGGAAACUGGGGCUAAUACCGGAUAGGAGCUCCUGCUGCAUUGUGGGGGUUGGAAAGUUUCGGCGGUUGGGGAUGGACCCGCGGCUUAUCAGCUUGUUGGUUGGGUAGUGGCUUACCAAGGCUUUGACGGGUAGCCGGCCUGAGAGGGUGACCGGCCACAUUGGGACUGAGAUACGGCCCAGACUCCUACGGGAGGCAGCAGUGGGGAAGAUUGCACGAUGGGCGGAAGACUGAUGCAGCAACGCCGCGUGCGGGAUGACGGCCUUCGGGUUGUAAACCGCGUUCGCCUGUGACGAAGCGUGAGUGACGGUAAUGGGUAAAGAAGCACCGGCUAACUACGUG